CGCCCCACCAUAUAGACGGUUCAUUAUUUUGUAUAUCAAUUACCUCAAUGUUGGUAAUUUUGUUCACCAUUUUUUACUCUGUGCAAUUCUUAUGCCCAGCUGCAUAGCUUUGACACCUGCAAGAGAAUCUUCACGGACCCGGCAAUGUACUCGGUAAUUAACAAGUUCUCUUGGUCAAUCGGGUCUCAAGAAAAAGUUGCGGUCAUCAAAAUGGAGACCAGAGAAGUGCUAGCAACAUGAACACCACAAUUAAAUGAUGUUGGGGUGGCUACGGCAAUCAAGGACGACAAUUGACAUUGUGACUAGUUUGCCUAAAAGUUGGGCAUAUUGUGUGAGUGUUAGCAUCACUAUUAUGACAACGAGGCUCAUACUGGAGGGCAUAAUGAUGUUUUGGCAAUAACCGCGUACAACACGGAUUGGUAGAUAGAAUAUAGUGAAACCGAUCACAUAGCUAGCAGGCUUGGCAAGUUAACAGUUUGGGUCAAGUAUACCGACUCUAUGACAAGGUGCACACAACAAAUGGAGCAUGUAUGGAAAUUAUUAACAUUAGUAGUACCAAAAUUAAUACUCAUAAACAUAUGGUUUGUCGUUCAUGAAGUUAACACUGAUCUAUGGAAUUGAUUCUCG
rnacentral:lncRNA from 1 species